GCUAUCUUAGCUCAGUUGGUAGAGCACAUCCUUGGUAAGGAUGAGGUCGUCGGUUCAAAUCCGAUAGAUAGCUCCA
rnacentral:tRNA from 2 species